rnacentral:rRNA from 1 species
CCUACGGGGUGCAGCAGUGAGGAAUAUUGGUCAAUGGGCGUAAGCCUGAACCAGCCAAGUCGCGUGAGGGAUGAAGGUUCUAUGGAUCGUAAACCUCUUUUAUAAGGGAAUAAAGUGUGGGACGUGUCCUGUUUUGUAUGUACCUUAUGAAUAAGGAUCGGCUAACUCCGUGCCAGCAGCCGCGGUAAUACGGAGGAUCCGAGCGUUAUCCGGAUUUAUUGGGUUUAAAGGGUGCGUAGGCGGCCUUUUAAGUCAGCGGUGAAAGUCUGUGGCUCAACCAUAGAAUUGCCGUUGAAACUGGGAGGCUUGAGUAUGUUUGAGGCGGGCGGAAUGCGUGGUGUAGCGGUGAAAUGCUUAGAUAUCACGCAGAACCCCGAUUGCGAAGGCAGCCUGCCAAGCCAUGACUGACGCUGAUGCACGAAAGCGUGGGGAUCAAACAGGAUUAGAUACCCCAGUAGUC